rnacentral:misc_RNA from 1 species
UUUCCGUAGGUGAACCUGCGGAAGGAUCAUUAAUGAGUUGUCAUGGGGUUCGAUGCUGGCAGCCAAUUUUUGGAUGCAUGUGCUUGCCCUAACAAUCAUCUUCCAAACACCUGUGCACAUUUUUGAGGGAGUCCUGAGUUGGUUGCCGCUCUUGGGUGAUUUUCUCACAUUCCCUUAAAUCAUUAUACGCUAUUAACAAUGUUGAACGUGCUCUGUGCCGCAAGGCUAUUAAUAUAAUACAACUUUUAACAACGGAUCUCUUGGCUCUC